UACGAAGGGUGCAAGCGUUACUCGGAAUUACUGGGCGUAAAGCGUGCGUAGGUGGUUUGUUAAGUCUGCUGUGAAAUCCCUCGGCUCAACCAAGGAAGUGCAUCCGAAACUGCUGAGCUUGAGUACUUAAGAGGAUCGCGGAAUUCCCGGUGUAGAGGUGAAAUUCGUAGAUAUCGGGAGGAACACCAGUGGCGAAGGCGGCGAUCUGGGAAGAUACUGACGCUGAGGUGCGAAAGCGUGGGGAGCAAACAGG
rnacentral:rRNA from 1 species